rnacentral:rRNA from 1 species
CCGAGAAUAUUCGACAAUGGGCGAAAGCCUGAUCGAGCGAUACCGCGUGAUGGAUGAAGGCCUUCGGGUUGUAAACAUCUUUUGGAGGGGAAGAAAUAAUUGACAUUACCCUCAGAAUAAGGGGCUCCUAACUCUGUGCCAGCAGGAGCGGUAAUACAGAGGCCCCAAGCGUUACCCGGAAUCACUGGGCGUAAAGGGUGUGUAGGUGGUCGCAUUAGUCGCUUGUUAAAAACCCGGGCUCAACCCGGGGAGUGCGGGCGAAACGGUGCGACUCGAGGGCGUGAGAGGUGCAUAGAACUCUAGGUGUAGGGGUGAAAUCCGUUGAUAUCUAGGGGAAUACCGAAAGCGAAGGCAGUGCACUGGCGCGUUCCUGACACUGAAACACGAAAGCGUAGGUAGCGAACGGGAUUAGAUACCCCCGUAGUCC